rnacentral:rRNA from 1 species
CCUACGGGAGGCUGCAGUGGGGAAUAUUGCACAAUGGGGGGAACCCUGAUGCAGCGACGCCGCGUGGGUGAAGGAGCACCUCGGUGCGUAAAGCCCUAUCGGCAGGGAAGAAAAGCGAACAGGUUCGCCUGGACGGUACCUGACUAAGAAGCCCCGGCUAACUACGUGCCAGCCGCCGCGGUAAUACGUAGGGGGCAAGCGUUAUCCGGAUUCACUGGGUGGAAAGGGAGCGUAGACGGCGGCGCAAGUCUGGAGUGAAAGCCCGGGGCCCAACCCCGGGACUGCUCUGGAAACUGCGGCGCUGGAGUACGUGAGGGGCAGGCGGAAUUCCUGGUGUAGCGGUGAAAGGCGUAGAUAUCAGGAGGAACACCGGCGGCGAAGGCGGCCUGCUGGACCGUGACUGACGUUGAGGCUCGAGAGCGUGGGGAGCAAACAGGAUUAGAUACCCGAGUAGUC